rnacentral:rRNA from 1 species
AACUUAUGUUAGAACUAGUAAUGUGAAUUUCACUAUUCUCCAAAAAUGUAGGUGUAAAUCAGAUCGAAUAAAUCACUGAUAUUUAACGCUUUCUAUGAGACUAUUGCAUCAACAACACAAGAAAAACAUGCGUUUAAUAACGUUAAUCUAACACAAGAACAUUCAAGGAAAGAUAAAAAGACGCAGAAGGAACUCGGCAAACCCGAACCUCGCCUGUUUACCAAAAACAUCGCCUCUUGCUAAUUAACACGUAUAAGAGGUCCAGCCUGCCCAGUGACUAUAUGUUCAACGGCCGCGGUAUUCUGACCGUGCAAAGGUAGCGUAAUCACUUGUCUUUUAAAUAAAGACUGGUAUGAAUGGCAUCACGAAGGUUCAACUGUCUCCUGCAUCCUAUCCAUAAAACUGACCUCCCCGUGCAGAGGCGGGGAUACGACCAUAAGACGAGAAGACCCUAUGGAGCUUCAAACUAAAGGCAACCGCCAACUAUUAUUUAACCACCAGGGAUUAACAAAUAAACAAGCAUGUAUGACCUAAAGUUUUCGGUUGGGGCGACCACGGAGGAAAAAAAAUCCUCCUUGAUGAAUAGGACAUUUAAUCCUUAACCAAGAAUAACAAUUCUAAGUAACAAAAUUUUUAGACUAUAAUUGAUCCAGUCUAACUGAUCAACGAACCAAGUUACCCUAGGGAUAACAGCGCAAUCCAUUUCAAAAGUUCUUAUCGACAAAUGGGUUUACGACCUCGAUGUUGGAU